AUUGAACGCUGGCGGCAGGCUUAACACAUGCAAGUCGAGCGGGGGAGAUUGCUUCGGUAAUUGACCUAGCGGCGGACGGGUGAGUAAUACUUAGGAAUCUGCCUAUUAAUGGGGACAACAUCUCGAAAGGGAUGCUAAUACCGCAUACGCCCUACGGGGGAAAGCAGGGGAUCACUUGUGACCUUGCGUUAAUAGAUGAUCCUAAGUCGGAUUAGCUAGUUGGUGGGGUAAAGGCCUACCAAGGCGACGAUCUGUAGCGGGUCUGAGAGGAUGAUCCGCCACACUGGGACUGAGACACGGCCCAGACUCCUACGGGAGGCAGCAGUGGGGAAUAUUGGACAAUGGGGGGAACCCUGAUCCAGCCAUGCCGCGUGUGCGAAGAAGGCCUUAUGGUUGUAAAGCACUUUAAGCGAGGAGGAGGCUCUUCUAGUUAAUACCUAGGAUGAGUGGACGUUACUCGCAGAAUAAGCACCGGCUAACUCUGUGCCAGCCGCCGCAGUAACAC
rnacentral:rRNA from 1 species